rnacentral:misc_RNA from 1 species
GCCGAAGGUGGGCUAAUGACUGGGGUGAAGUCGUAACAAGGUAGCCGUACCGGAAGGUGCGGCUGGAUCACCUCCUAACAGGGAGACAACAAAAUGUUUAAUAUUAUUAUUUUGUCACCUUAGGUCGAUCGGUAUCUCACGUUCUUAAUUUAUUAAGAAUUUCAUUUCCUAAGUUUUUCUAGGUCACACCCAUUAUUUUUCCUGGGCCAUUAGCUCAGGUGGUUAGAGCGCACCCCUGAUAAGGGUGAGGUCCCUGGUUCAAGUCCAGGAUGGCCCAUAUCUCUAUGUUGGGGGUAUAGCUCAGUUGGUAGAGCGCCUGCUUUGCAAGCAGGAUGUCAGCGGUUCGAGUCCGCUUACCUCCACUGAUUACCACCUCUUCCAUAACCGGUAGUACAGGAAAUGUUUUGAGUUGUGAUCAAAUUCUGAAAGAAUCUAGCUUCCUAAUGAAAUCAUUAAGAUGCUGGACUCAUUGAAUUAAUUUCAUUGUUUUCAGAGAACCUUGACAACUGCAUAGAUUAUUUUUAAAGACAAUAAGCAUCUUUAAUGAUGCAGAUUUAUUAUUUUUGCUAAUGCAUUAAUAACAAUUCUAUUAAGCUGAUGCUUCAAUUUUUGAAGUUAUUGGUCAAGCUACAAAGGGCUCACGGAGGAUA